GCAAAACUAGCUCAGUUUAGACAAGGUGAUUUUACUGUGAUUCAGCAACCAUUUAAAUAAUACAAAUGUCUGAGGUUUUCCCACACCAAGCUCUUGCAAUCCAUCAAGCAGUGAAGUCAAGGUUUCACCAGAGAGACAUGGUGUCUUAGGUUUGGGUGACGAGGGGAGACACUGAUAAGAGGGCGCUUGGCUCUCGCUCUGGUCCACCUUCCAGCCAUGGCAGCAGCAGCACCUCCGAGACUGCGACUAAUUUGUAUUUCCUUGAUUAUUGUUCUUAUAUUUCUGAUAGGACUGGUAGUUUAGUUUUUGCGGCUUUAUUUCUGUUUGUUUAGUUAGGGAUUAGUUUAGGGUAGAGGGGGGCUUCCCGUUCUUUUGUUUGUUUUGGCCAGCCCAUCAGAUUUGUUGUUUUGUUUAAGUUAAAUUUUGAACUUAUUUCAUGUUUAUUUCAAUAAACUUAUGUUUGCAUUA